GUCCGCGGGCGCAAUAUCUCUGCGAAUGAGGGUUAGCUGCUUGCCGAAGGUACAGUACACGGGAUAAAAAGGAAAGCUGCAAAAAAACGGGAGGGAAAUACUUUCGGUAUUGACUGAGAGGCUUUAUUAGCCGUUGAUGCAUGUCAGAAAACAAAUUUUAACAUGCCGGUCCCGUGUUUUGCAGCAAACGGAAAAACUGCUACGGACCUGAGGCUGCGAUAGGCAGAGGAUAUUUAUUGAGAAUAAUUUGCAGACCAGGAUCCCAAUGCAAGUUCUCCAUUAAGCGGAGUGAUCAGGAUCUGAGUAUCAUUGACACUUAACAGUGAAAGGAAAGAGGUUUAACCAUUCUAUGCGUGGGAGAAUACUCCUGGACCUUUCGUGAUCUAAUCCCGUAACAGUGUGAGCUGCUACAAUGCACAUGCUAGUAAAAGCAUAAGAGGACAGAUGAGAUGAGUGCAUGGCUGGAGCUAUAACUUAAAAAGAUUUGGAUUCCUGAGGCAUUGAGACUGUUUGUUUGUUUCUGGGGAAGGUGGGACAUGCACAAGCUUGAACAAUUGUCCUGGGCAGAGCUGGGACAGAUAUUCUUGUUGAUGCUUUUGCUAGUUCCACUGGUGAGGAUUUAAACUCGUAUGACAGGGGAAUGGGAACCAAAGUAUACCUUUAGCAGUAAAAGACUCAAAUCAGCAAAUGGGACGUGAAAUUAGUUCAUGAUGUUGUCGGUGGCUGAAAGAUUAAAAGAAAGAAGGAUUAAUCAAGAUCAAAUCUCUUUUCAUACAUCAGUCCUGUGAUCCCAGGAAUUGGUCUGGUGAACCUUCUUUGCGAUCAUUCAGUAGCCAGACCAUCCUUCCUUUGGAAAGGAGAACAAAGGUGCACACUACUGCAGGUGUGGUCUCACCAAGGCCCUUAUAGAAAGACAUCCCUCCUCCUGUACUCGAAUCCUGUCACAAUGAAGGCCGAAAUAUCAUUUGCAUUCUUCACUACUUGCUGCUGCCUGUUUCCUAAAAGAGAAUAGGAGAGAAACACGGAACUAAAUGGGGUCAGACAGUCGGGUACAAUUGUUGAACACACUGUCCCCAUUGUAUCGGUGCUGGCCAUCAAGCACCUAUUUAAGCUAGGCCCGUUUUCUGGCACUCGGUGUGUAACCUAUAUUAUGGUGCAGUGGAUGAUCAUCUCAACACUUCUUCAAGAUUGCAAUGGUUCCUGCAUCUAUUAACAUUUCAGAUGCUGCCAGAUCUACUGUGUAUCUCCAUCUUUUUCUGUUUUUAUUCCAGAUUUCGGGUAUUUUGCUGUGUAUUCUUAGUCCUUCAGAAGCAUCAGAGGGUAUGGGGAGAAAACAGGAAUUGGAUUCAUUUUCAGAUGUAUAAAAUGCCUGCCCUUCAUGUCUGUCCAAACUCUAUCUCUUUUUGUAGUUUUGGGCAAACGCUGACUGUUUCCUUUCCCUGAAGGACAUUAAAUGAACCAGUUCAGUUUUACUGAUAAUCCAGCAGUGCCCCUCAGUGUUGCAUCCACAAUUGACCAGAUUAAUUUCUGAGUUUCACAAUCUUUGUGUGUGUUCUUCUGGUUUCUCUCUCUCUCUCUCUCUCUCUCUCUCUCUCUCUCUCUCUCUCUCUACGUUUCUUUUUUUUCUUCAGUUUGAAAUUUUGAUUGCAUUCAGAGAAAUCAAACAAAACCACAUCCAGAUCUGACACUCAAUCUGUUUGUCAUAACCUAAUUAUCUCAGGAUUUUGAACAUUAAAGGAAGAAGCACUGUUCACACCAGGGAGAAAUGCGUAUUGUCUGUGUGUCGAAGAGUCUUUGAAGAUUCAUCUGAAAUGCCCAAACACCAGCGCAGUCACACUUGGGAGAGACUGUGGAAAUGUGGGGAUUGUGGGAAGGGAUUUAUUUACCCAUCCCAGCUGGAAAUGCACCAACGCAGUCACACUGGGGAGAAACCGUUCAUUUGCUCUGAUUGUGGGCUGGGAUUCACUCAGUCAAGCAACCUGCUGAAACACCGAGUUCACAGUGGGGAGAGACUGUUCACAUGUUCCGAGUAUGGGAAGGGAUUUGCUCGCUCACUCAACCAACCUGCUGAGACACCAGCGAGUUCACUCUGGGGACAGACCAUUCACUUGUUCUAUGUGUGGAAAGGGAUUCACUCAAUCAUCCCAACUGUUAACACACCAGCAAGUUCACCACAACCACAUUUGAAGGAUUUUGCCCUUAAAUCAAGGAAUGAACUUUGAUCUUUGGGCUGUUUGUACUGGUGUCAUUAGUCCCUGCUCAAAACUUGAUCUUCUCUUGGGAAAUAAGGUAGGGCAGGUGACUGAGGGGUCAGCAGGGGCGAGAAUAUUUUGGGGCCUAUGAUUGUAUCUCUAUUAGUUUUAAAAUAAUUAUGGAAAAGGAUAGACUUUGGUCUAAGAGUCAAAGUUUUAAAUGAGACUAAGGCCAAUUUUGACACUACUAUGCUCCUUAAAAGCACAGUAAGACCGCCUAUGUGUGGGAAUGCACGAGUUGGGUGAGAUACAAAAAAGUAUUUUACAUCAGUAUUUACUGUGAUCAAGGAUACAAAAGCUAAAGAACUUAGAGAAAUGAAUGUGUAUCUUGAAAAGUUCCAUGUUGUGGAGGAGGUGGUGCUGGAUGCCUUACAGACCAUAAAGGUGGAUAAAUCCCCAGGACCUCUUCAGGUGUAUUCUCGAACUUUGCGGGAAGCUAGGCUUGCAAUUGGGCCCCUUGCUCAGAUAUUUGCACCAUUGACAGUCAUAGGUGAGCUGUUACACUGGAGGUUGGCUAAUCUGGUGCCAUUGUUUAAGAAAGGUGGUAACAGAAAACCAGGGAACAAUAAACUUUUGGUGAGCCUGACGUCAGCUGUGGGUAAGUUGUUGGAGGGAAUUCUGAGGGAUAGGAUUUACAUAUAUUUGGAAAGCGUGGACUGAAUGGGGAAUAGUCGACAUGGCUUUGUCCAUAGGAAAUUAUGUCUUACUAACUUGAUUGAGUUUUUUUGAAGAAGUUAGAAACAAGAUUGAUGGCAGAGCGGUGGAUGUUUUCGAUAUUCCGCAUGGUCGACUGAUUAACAAGGUUAGAUCACAUGGAAUCCAGGGAGAGCUGGCCAUUUGGAAAGGCGUUUGACCUGCAGUAUGCUGCAAGGAUUGGUACUUAGUAGCUAUAACUCGUACAUUCACAUCCAAAUCAUCUUUAUAAAUGACAAAAUGGAGUGGACCCAGCUCUGAUCCUUGCAGCACACCACUGGUCACAGGCCUCCAGUCUACAAAGCAACCCUCCACCAGCACUCCGUCUUCUACCUUCAAGUCAGAUCUGUUUCCAAAUGACUGGUUCUCUCUGUAUUCCAUGUGAUCUGACCUUGCUCAUCAGUCUACCAUGAGGAACCUUGUCAAACGCCUUAGUGACAUCCAUAUAGAAUACAUCCACCUCUUUGCGCUAUUCAAUCCUCUUUGUUCCUCCAUCAAAAAAAAAUCAAGUCAGUGAGACAUGAUUUCCUACACACACAGCCAUGUUGAUUAUCCCUAAUCAGUCCCUCCCUUUCCAAAUAUUUCAAGUACUAUCCCUCAGGAUUCCUAGAACGACUUUCCCACCACUAAUAUCAGGCUCACUGGCCUAUAGUUCCCUGGCUUUUCCUUACCACCUUUCUUAAAUAGUGGCACCACAUUAGCCAACUUCUGGUCCCUCACCUGUGGAUAUCGAUGACACAAAUAUCUCAGCAAGGGGCCCAGCAAUCACUUGCCUAGCUUCCCUCCGAGUUCUCGGAUACGCCUGAUCAGGUCCCAGGAAUUUAUCCGCUUUUAUGCGUUUAAAGCAUCACUACCUCUGUAAUAUGGAUAAUUUUCACGAUGUUGCUAUUUAUUUCCCCACAGUCUAUAUCUUCCAUAUCCUUUUCUGUAGUAAAUACUGAUGCAUAAUACUUGUUUUAUUAUAUUCCCCAUUUCUUGCAAUUCCACACAUAGGAGGCAUUGCUGCUUUUUAAGGGGCCCUAUCUCCCCAUAGUUAUCCUUUUUGUUCUUAAUCUAUUUGUAGAAUCCCACUGGAUUUUCCUUAAUACUAUUUGCCUAAGUUACCUCAUGUUCCCUUUUUGCCCUACUAAUUUCCCUCUUAAGUAUACUAUUGUCAUUAUACUCUUGUAAGCAUUCACUCAAUCUCUGCUGUCUAUACCUGACUUGUCCUUCCUCCUUUUUCUUGACCAAAACCUUGAUUUCUCUAGUCAUCCAGAAUUCCCUAUACCUACCAGCAUUGUCCUUCACCCGAACAGGAGUAUACUGUCCCUGAACUCUCGUUAUCUCUUUUUUUUGAAGGCUUCCCACUUUCUAACCUUUCUUUUUUACCUGCAAACAUCUGCCCCAAUCAACUUUUGAAAGCUCUUGUGUAAUACCAUUAAAAUUGGCCUUCCCCCAAUAUAGAGCUUUAACUUUCAGAUCCGGUCUACUCUUUUCCAUCACUAUUUUAAAACUAAUAGAAUUAUGGUCACUGGCCCCAAAGUCCUCCCCUGCUGAUACCCUAGUCACCUGUCCUGCUUUAUUUGCCAAGAGCAGGUCAAGUUUUGCACCUUCUGUAGUCGGUACAUCACAUACUGAAUCAGAACAUUUUCCUGUACACUCUCAGCAAACUCCGCUCCAUCCAAGCCUUUUAGACCAUGGAAUUCCCAGUCUGUUUGGAAAGUUAAAAUCCCUUCCAUCACCACCCUGUUAUUCUUACAGAUAACUUCUUUCAAAAUUAUUUGUCAGAUUCCUGCUGACUAUUGGGGGUGGCUAUAGUAUAAUCCCAAUAAGGUGAUCAUCCCUUUCUUAUUUCUCAGUUUCACCCAAAUAACUUCCCUGGAUGUAUUCUCAGAUAUAUCCUGCCUAAGUAACGCCAUAAUGUUAUCCUUGCUCAAAAAUGCCACUUUUCCCUCCUCUCUUGCUUUGCUUCCCCCUCCCCCUUCGACUUUCUAUCCUUUCUAUAGGAACUAUAUCUUAGAACAUUAAGCUGGCAGCCCUGUCCAUCUUUGAGCCUUGCCUCUGUAAUUGCAAUGAUAACCCAGUUUCAUGUUUCCAAUCUUGCCCUGAGUUCCUCUGCCUUAGCUGUUAGGCCUCUGGCAUUGAAAUAAAUGGCGUUUAAUUUAUUAAUCCUUUCGCAUUAAUCUCAAUAACAAAUACGUAACUGUAGAGUAGGUUUUGAAAAUGAUAACGUUUUAUUGCUGUAUAUCAACACAUUCACACUGGGUAAAGACAAUCCACCCACACAGUGUGUGAAAAGGGAUUCCCUAGUUCAUUAGGACGGGUUUUCAUAGAAUUCGGAGUAUUCCUACAGUAUGGAAACAGGCCCUUCGGCCCAAGAAUUCCACACAAAACCUCAGAGCAUCCCACCCAGACACAUCUCCCCGUAGCCCACCAAAUGUAUGCAUCACUGAACACUCUGGGCAAUUUAGCUUGGCGAAUCCACUAACCAGCACAUGGGAGGAAACCAGAGCACCGAGAGGAAACCCACGCAGCCACAGGGAGAAUAUGCCAACAACCACAUGCUCGGUUGCCCAAGGGUGGAAUCAAAUCCAGGUCUCUGGCACUGUGAGGCAGCAGUGCUAACCGCUGAGCCACUGUGGUUAACCACCAAUGAGUUCCCAAGAAUCUGUAGGAAUUUUUGUUGCUCGUAUUAUCUGUAUCCAAGUCAUGUUAUCUGGGCUUGUUUCUCAUGAUGUUUGAAAACACCACAUGUCUGGUUACCUAGUUGGGAGAAAAAAUGAUAUAAAUUUUAUUAAAACUACUGUGCAUUCGAUCUUUAUUUCAAAAGCAGACUAAUUUAUUUUGAAAGGGGAGAUGGAGAGCCUAUCUCCUCUAUCCUCACCUCCAACAAGUGCGAGGAACCUGUGGUUUUUAUUUUUCACUCAAUGACAGUCAGUACAUUUCAUAUGAGCAACUGGGAACCGAGUCAUCCCAAAAUGCUUGCAACUUAGUGUAUUAAUGGUACACUAUUACAAUAAUAACCAUUACAAUUCUUUUCUGAACCUUUUGCAGUUUUACAACAUCCGUCCUUCAGCAGGAAGAGUAGAAUUACACACAGUGGUUACACCUAAACUGGAAUGGGAACUGCAUCCUUGUGGGGGGUGGGGGUGGGUUUCCAGUACUGUUGGGGGUCAUGUAAAAAGUUUAGCAGUGGGCUGAAAUCCAGAGAAUGUUCAAAAUAAUAAUGGCCAAAAAGAGAAGAAACAAGAGAGUCUGGAAGGCAUUGUCAUUGGGCAAUUAAGAUAUAAGCGAGUUUGCCAAGGGUGAAUGGUAUUUAAUGCUUGGAGUCAGAUGAAUAAGGCAGAUGAUUUGAGGAUACAAAUUAGUGGGGUCAUAAAGCCAUUGCUGUCACUUGGACAUGGUUAGCAGCUCAGUAUUCCAGGAUACAGGGCCUUCAUGCAAGGCAGUGGAGGUGUUAAAGGAGGAGGAGAUAUUGUUAUUUUGCUUCGGGAAUCUAUACAGCAAUAAGGACAGGUGACAUUUUUGAAAACCCCUUUAAAUAAAUAAGGAGACAGAUUUUGAGAAAGUGUAGAAGUAGCAGGAUUAUGGUAGCAGAGACUUUCAACUUCCUCAACAUUAAUGGAGUCGUCAUAAUGUGAAGGAUUUAUCAGAAUUUUUAAAAUACAUCCAGGAGAGCAUUUUUUCAGCCAUUAAGUAGAAGUCCCAACAAGGAAGGGGAAGGUCCUGGACUUGACUUUAGGUUACAAAGUUGAGCAAGUGGUUGAAGUUUCAGUGGGAUAGCAUUUUGCAGGCAGUUAUUAUAACUAUUCGAUUCAGGAUUUGUGUGGAAAAGGGCAAGGAUGGGUCUAAAGUCCUAAACUGAUGCUGAAGUUAUGAAGAAAGUAAAUGGAAUUUUGGCCUUAACUGCGAGGUGUUAGUGUUUUGAGGAUCGGGACAUCUUGUAACAACUGUAUUGGAUGUUGGUGAAGCCAUAUUGGUUUAGCUACUCGUAUUUAAGAAAGGAUAUGCUGGCGUUGAAUGCGGUGCAAAAGAGAUUCGCUAAGCUGAUUCAUGGGAUGUAAGGGUCAUCAAGAAUAGCUGGAGGAAGGGAAUUUGCAAAGGGAAAAUACUAAAUAAACAGGUGGUGCCCAGUGUUGGGCUCGUACUCACAACUCUGCACUUAAACAGCGUAUGUUCCAACAACUGAGUUAACUUGGCCUUCCACAGUCAAUGUUCAAAUCCUGCUUUAUAAGGUGACAAAUGGGUUUUUCACUGACGCCGCUGCAGUCCAAGGAAGUAAAAGGUAACUGCUUUAGAAAAUCCCAAGGUUCCAAUGUAUUCUUCUCAUUCACAUUGCAAUCCAUUUUCAGUACUUGCUCCAGGAUUUAACAUUCAAAAUUAAUUUUGUGAUGUUGUUGCCCUCAUCUUUAAGUGCCCUGUAUAACUCCAGUCACUCGGUCGAAUGGUGAAAAAGUCUGUUUCAAUAAACCAAUUUUUUUCAGCUACA